AGCUUACAUUGCAGGCUACACAGAAGCACUGCUGAUUUCAGCCCUGGCAGGACUCCUGUUUAAACAUACUUCCCAGAAAUCUUGGGCAGCUUGCCAUGGCAUUGUGUUAAGAAAAGGAUUGGUAGACAGAGAGAUGCACUGUUGAGAUUACCCUUCAGGAAGGACUUGCUACCGACUACAGGGGACAGGAAUCAGCAGACAUCCUCCAGCCAUCAGCUUCUUCAGGAUCUACCUCAGCGUCAAGGAACCACCUGACCUGAGGUCUCAUUCUUCCUUGGGCAGACUACAUCUUAUAACAAAGUGAGCAUCUACUUGUUUCCAAAGUUAUUUGGGUCAGCAUUUUCCUCCACCCACCACUUAAAACUGAUUUGUUUCAUACAUUUGAAAUGUAUGAAAAGCCAGAAAUCCAGGACCCACCCUGGCCUGCUCCCUUUUUCUCACCUACUGUGUUAAGGAUAAGUCAAUUGAGCUUCACUUCUCUAAUUGAAAUCACCGUGCUGAUGGAGUCUGUCUGUGGAAAUGAAAGGUGGCUACCAUAAUCUGUUGGGAGUUGAAUUAAUCCUCUGGGAGUGAGGCUGACCUAAUUACUCAGAAAUACUGGGCUUGCUUUCAUUCUGUGGAAUACAGCCAUGAGAAAGAGGCCAGCAUGCCAUUUCCUAAUCUUUUCUUGAAUUGCCUGAAACUCACCUAACAUGAAACUGAGAAGCCUUUUCAUUUGAAAGUGGUAUUUCUUAUGUUUUUUAUCUUUUUGCUUGAAAGUAUUCUUAAACUAAAGAAAGGAGAAACAGAAAAGGUGAAGAAGCCAAGAGGCUGGAGUUUCCUUUUGAAUGGAUAUUCAUCCAUGAAGCUGUUGAUUCUGUUUUUCUGUUCCUCCAGAUGUCUACACUUUUACCUCUGCUUGCCUGAUACAACCACCACCAGUCACCUCACAGAAUAACUCACUCCUUAAGAAUCUGAUCAGGAAUCAGCCUUCCCUGAUCACAAACACUGAGUUUAGAAGUCCCUCCACAGUGUCCCCCGUAACCCUGUGCUACCUCACUGCCUCAUAGUUUAGUGCCGUUUGUGUACAUGCCUAUCUUCGUCCAUGGAUCCAGAACAACUUGUAAAAAUGACUGUACUUAUCACCUUCAGUAUUCAAUGACUAAACUAUAAUUUUAACAUAUCUGGCAGAAUGAAUCACUUGGGGAUUUCUGCCAACACUACCAAUAUAUUACUCCUAAUUUGUAAUUAUUACUUAGCAUGGAUUAUAGUACCGGCUGUUGGAGAGCCAAUGUGGCAGACCCUAAGUGGAAUAAAAUGUCAGUAGCAGUCUAGGAGCAUAUAUUUAUUGGAAUAGAUCAUUCAUUCAUUUGUUCAUUAACUAAUUUGUUCAUUAAAUAAACAUUUAUUAAGC
rnacentral:lncRNA from 1 species